rnacentral:rRNA from 1 species
GUGGGGAAUUUUGGACAAUGGGCGCAAGCCUGAUCCAGCAAUGCCGCGUGCAGGAAGAAGGCCUUCGGGUUGUAAACUGCUUUUGUACGGAACGAAACGGUUCUCUCUAAUACAGGGGGCUAAUGACGGUACCGUAAGAAUAAGCACCGGCUAACUACGUGCCAGCAGCCGCGGUAAUACGUAGGGUGCAAGCGUUAAUCGGAAUUACUGGGCGUAAAGCGUGCGCAGGCGGUUUUGUAAGACAGAGGUGAAAUCCCCGGGCUCAACCUGGGAACUGCCUUUGGGACUGCAAGGCUGGAGUGCGGCAGAGGGGGAUGGAAUUCCGCGUGUAGCAGUGAAAUGCGUAGAUAUGCGGAGGAACACCGAUGGCGAAGGCAAUCCCCUGGGCCUGCACUGACGCUCAUGCACGAAAGCGUGGGGAGCAAACAGGAUUAGAAACCCUGGUAGUCC